ensembl:lncRNA
CGUGACGCCUGUUGUGUUGCGUCAUCGUUUGACCAGUUGGUCUUCAACAAGAGAUCGACUGCACUCAAGACGGAACCAAAACCAGAUUAAUAAUAUUAUCCAUCUUGUUUUGUAGGCAACAGGAUGUUGUCAAAAAAGGAGUCAAAGAGAACUUUCAGCAACGGGUCGCUCAGAGACCAAUGGGAGCAGAAGGCUCAGAGCGUGGCCGACCAGUGCAAACAGGAGGCCGAAUGGAAGAAGAAAAGUUCCCACAAAAUAUCUUUCUCAAAGUGGAAUUAUCACUGGUCACUUGUUUCCAAUGGAGACUUCAAGAAGCUCACCAGCGGAGCAGAUGAAGAGGAAAACAAGCCAAAAAUUAAAUUCAAAGUAGUCCCCCCUCCUCCCAAACCCAGACAUGAGCCCGCUCCCCCUCCUCCCCCCAAGAAAGCAGCUUCGCCCAAACUUCAUAGGCCAAAACGUAAAGUUGAAGUGGAUGUAUUUAAGCUCUGCUGGAAAGACUCCUGGAUGAGCCUGAAGCCACCAAAGUAUCUCUACCUGAAGGCCAAAGAGAUAAAAACCCAAAUCCCAGGGUUCACAACCAUAGAGCUGACUAACAACAGGGAAUACAAACCAAAGGAAUACGGACUGGAGGACCAAUGGGCGUCUCCUGCUGAUGAAUGGAGUGACUCCUGGAAACAGGUGAGGAGUCCUGCCCAGCUGGAGCGCUCGGAGGAGAAACAAUCCCAGUCGGACAUUUUAUUUGAAAGAAUGAUGAAUUGCCAAACUGAGAUAGAAGUGUUUUCUCUUCCUGUCUGGGCCGGUACUUGGAAGAUGAUGAACUUUGCCUUCAGACAGGAAAAGAAGAAUUGGGAUCGUAUCUGGCCUGAAUAUCAACAAAUCUGCAGCAACAAGUUUGACCAAGUACAACAACUAGAGGAGCAGGAAGAGCCUUCGGACUGGGAGGGUUCAUGGAAGAUGUCGGGUAUUCAGCCUGAAACCAAAGACAUCGAGGAGCCAACCGCAAGCGCGAAAACCAUGGUGAUGACGAGGAUAAGCAACGUGUUCAUGCCCGGGUGGAGCGACUCCUGGCUACUCUCCGCUGCUCCUCCCGAGGAAGAAGAAGAACGACGCAAAAACUGGAGCUCCUGCUGGGGAUUCAGGCAGCAGACCAGGUGGUGCCAGUCUUCGCUGCAGUCCCAUCAUGAACACAGCGCCAUGCUGACUAAGAGACGUGAAGACAAAAACCUCCUCCUCACGUCCCAGCUGGACGAGGAGAUCAUGGACAGCACAGAGUGGACGGAGGCCUGGAGGACUCCUAAAGGAUGGAUCAAACCAGAGGAGGACAAAAUGGACGAGAGGAUGAGUGACACAGACGGACAGGAGGAGGACGAAGGAGUGGAAUAUGAGGAGGAUGUAGAAGGAGAUGGGGAGAUGCAGGAAGAGGUGCAGGAGGAAGAAGAGGACGACGAUGACGAGGGAGUAGAUGAGGAGGAGGAUAUUGGCAAAAACGAGGAGGACGAGGAAGAGAAGGAUAUAGAAGUACACGUGAAGGAGGACAGAGAAUUUAACAAAGAUGAUGAAGAAGAUAAGGAGGAGGAUGAAGGGGUAGAUGAGGAGGAGGAGGAAGAAGAGGAGGAGGACAGUGAUGAGAAGGAUGUAAACAAUGAGGAGGAAAAAGAUACAGACAAGGAAAGUGAGGAGGAAGAUGAAGAGGACAAAGAAAAAGACAAAAAUGUGGAGCAAGAGGAGAAAGAAGCAAAGGAGAGGAAUAAGGAGGAUGGAGACGACUCCGAGGAGGGAGAACACAAGGUGGAGGAGAAAAACAUAAACCAUAAUGGUGGAGAGGAUGAAGAUGAAGACGGGGAGGACACACAACAGUCUGAUGAGGAGGAAAAAGAAAAGGAGGACGAGGAAGACGGAGUAGUGGAGGAGGACACACAUGCAAUAGAAAUAGGCAAAAUAGACAAGGACGGGGAGGAAAAAGAUGAUGAUGAUAUGGAUGAAAAAGACAGGGAAGUAGAUGAAGACGAGGAAGAAGACACGCUAAAUGGAGAGGAAGAGUUGGACAUACUUGAAAUGAAAGAAAUAGCCAAAGAAGAGGAACAGGAGGAUGAAGAGGUUGAUGAGAAGGAGGACACAGUUUUCUGGGAGGCAAAAUGUGAAGUAAAAGAAAAGGACGAUACAGGGGAGGACAAUGUGCAGGAAGAGGAAAAGGACGAUGAAGAAGACGAAGACUCUGACUAUCAAGAUGUGGCUGAGGAUGAGGAGGAGUUAGAGCUGGACAGGAAGGAGGAAAAAGUAGCAAUGGAGGGGGGAAAUGACGUAGAGGAAGAGGAGGGUGUGGAUACAGAGGUGGAGGAAGAGGUGGAAAAAGAGAAAGAAGUGGACAAAGAAGUGUAUACGGAAGACAAAGAAAUACACAAGGAGGAGGAAAAGGUUUCCAGGAAGGGGGGGAAUGUAGAGGAAGAGGAUGGUGUGGAUACAGAGGAGGAGGAAGAAGAAGAGGCAGAGGAAGAGGAGGAGGAAGAAGAAGCAGAAAAAGCACAAGGGAAUGAAGUAGACAAAGAAGAGGUUGAGGAUGAUGAAGACGUAGACCAAAAACAGGAGAAGGAAAAUAACGAGGAGGAAGAAGAAGAGGCGGAGGAAGAUGAGGAGGAGGAGGAGGAGGAGGAGGAAGAAGCAGAAAAAGCACAAGGGAAUGAAGUAGACAAAGAAGAGGAUGAGGAUGAUGAAGAUGUAGACCAAAAGAGAAAUGACGAGGAGGAAGAUGAUGGUUUGGAUACAGGGAAGGAGGAUGUAGAAGAAGAAGAGGAGGAGGAAGAACAGAAAGGGGAUGAAGCAGACAAAGACCAGGAGAAAGAAGUGGACGUAGAAGAAGUGGGUGAGGAAGAAAUAGACGAGGAGACAGAAGUAGAUGAGGAGGAGACGGGCAAAGAGGACAGUGAAGCAGAGGGGACGGCGGUCCAACUAACAGAGGAGGACGGCGGCUUUGAGGACGCAGACAAGAAAGAGGAGGAAGACAACGAGAGAACCAAAGUAAAGCAACGCAUCAAACGGAAAUCCAAUGUCCCACUCCAUCUGCAGUUCCAACUGAGCUCCUCCUUCUCCACCUGGAAGCAGUCGUGGAUGGUGGCAGUAGCUCACAGGGGAGCAGAGGAGGAGGAGGAGGAGGAGCAGGAGGAGAUGGAGGAGUGGGCGGCUUGGAGAGAGUCGUGGAGGAUUUGUCGCUGGAAGAAGCCGGACGAGGACGAGGUGGUUUGUUUCUCCACCGAGCACCGGAGUCAGAGACACUUGGGACGGACGCACGAAGAGGACGCCAUGCCAAACGGGGAGUGGACGCUCAGCUGGAUGAUGAACAAGACUGCAGCAAAGGAUGCAGACACGGGAGAAGAGGACGCAGAAACGUUCUAAUGGCUCAGAAAUGGUGAUGAGGGAAAUACUUAGGAGCUCAGGGAAGUUAGAUGUUGGUGAACAGCCCUCAUACUUACCGAGUGUGUCCAUAGAAUGAUGAGCUGGCACGUCUCUAGUUCAAACAUUUCAGUUCACUGGCUGUGAAAAAUACAUAUGUUAAACGCGCUGGUCCUCCAACCAAUGAGCGUGCAUGUCACGCGCCGAUGUGCAGGGCGGCCUUCAACACUUUGUCUCAAGACGCGUAGCCGCGUCCGCCCUGUUCUAUUACCAAUUCCAGGGUGACUGCCGCUAGCUUUGUCGAACCCACGCGUGGGUCCAGCAUUGCACUUUUGUAACUCUCCUCCGAUUGCUCAAAGCUAAAUGUGUUGCCUGAGUUCAGAGAUUCGGGGGGUCAAUUGACACAGUAAAGGGUGUGAAAUAACCAAGCAGCCACAAACCGGUUGAACCCGGAAGUGCCAAGAAACGCAGUUCUUUGAGUAGAGACACUGCCCAUAGACGGGGUGACGCCAUGUGAACACUUUAAAAGCAAAGACAGGCGUUAAGGAAGAACGUGUCAAAAUAUGUCGAAUGCGUAAUGUUAGAAAUGUCAUGUAAUAAGAUCAUUGCUACAUAUGAGGAUAAUGUGUGAAUAUGUCACUGCAUUUCAUGACAUUACAACCCGUUUACAUAUCAGACUGAAGUCACGGAGCCAAUAACUAUUGAUUAAAGUGUUUUUCAUGAAGUAGAUUAACCUUUGGCAUGAAUUUUCACUUUCUUUCUGACUGUGAGAUGAGGUGGACAUCCCCGUCGUCCACUACAGUCAGGCUGUGGUUAGCCUAGCUUAGCAUAGAGACGGGAAGCAGGGUGGAGACACUCCAAAAUGUUGUUUCUUUUUCCUGCACCUGAUACAAGAUGCAGCAGGUUAAAAUACGCGUUGGGGUGUCAGUAGUCAGAGCAGCAGUGGUCUCGGGGAAAAGAACGGGUCAUCCUUUCGACGCAGUGCUCCUAAACGCUGAAGAUAAGCUCACCCUUGUGUGGUGUCAGUUUUCAUCAAAACAAAUAUAGUAUGAUUCGUAUUUUUGAUGAUGAUUCGUAAGUCAGACUUUUCAGGCUCGGCUGAUUAUCUACGAAUAACAAACAUCAGAGCACAUCGACCGUCCACCGUGACCCCUGACCCCUCCCCACACGUUUAUAUUACAUGCCUGGUAAACCAGUGGGACUUGUAGGUCCUGUUUACCUUCCGAAGUCUACAGUGAAAAACCAAGGCAGGAGAGUUGUCGUGGACACAACACAACAUCACAUGCGACAACUGUUUUAUAUUCUACAAGCUGGCACAGGAGCUCCUGAAGGGGAGGCUGACCGUGUGGGAACCAUGAGGAGAAACAGCCCUGCGCUCCCCAAUAUUAACCAUAUUUGCUGUUUAUAGUGCCUCAAAUUGGGGAGAAGUAACAUCUGUUGACUAUUUUAACAUUAGAUUGUUUCAUUUUGUUGAAUUAAAACCCCCAAAAUACAGCUGACCCCCAACUGAGGCUGAGUAACAACACAGUGAGCACCAUACAGGGGUCACGUGCUGGGGUCAAACAGCAUGAGUUCCUCUGGAGGCCUCUAGGGGGCGUAGGGGCCACCGGGUAGAGACAGAGGCUCAGUCACACUGACUUCACAGAGGAUAAAGUCCUGGUUGGUUAACAAAAAUAACAAUUGUCUAAAUAAUGAAGAGUUUUAUUGGAUAAAUAAAAUAAAAGCACUUUACCGCAAAGUGUCAUUGAAUCAAUUUUCUCAAGAAGUGAAGCCGCUCUGUUUUGUGACAACCGACCAUUUUCUUAACAACUAUUUAGCUGUAAUAUGUUUAUCAGAUUCUAAAUCGAAUACAGCAUCAAUUUAAAAAAGAAGAUAUACUCAGUCUUUGAUUUGAAAAAUUACUAUUUAAAUAGGCAGCUUAAACAUAAUUACAUGAUGGGGACUUGUUCACUUUGCUCUGCCGCUCAGGCGCCUGGAUUUACUGAAACUAUUUAAUAUAAAACUCUUUAGUAAAUAAGAUCCAUUUCAUUUGUUUCAUCAUCUUUGAAAGUAUCCAUUGUUUCGAUGAGUAUCACGUUAAAUUCAUAUUACAGGCUAACUGCAACAUUAAGAGGACCCUGAAGUUUGGUUUCUUUUUGAGUUCAUAUGUAUUCACUAUUAAAGACAACCAAUACUGUGAUAUCACUGAGUGGAGGUGAGAAGGUGCUGGAUGGAAGGAGGUCCGUGCUGACAUGGCAGCAGCAGCCCCCAGCAGUCAGGAAUCAAGACAUUCAUCAAGUCUCUUUGCAUCAUCACAUUAGGUUAAAGCCGUGCUUUCUCUCACAUAUCUGCCCUUCCUCUCCCCCUCUGUGUCUGGCAGCUUUCACAUGCAGAUUUCCUCUUGUGUUCGGGUCCAGUUCUCCCUCCUGCUGCUGCCUCUCCUGCUGUGUAUUAGCAUGAGAUCAGACUGCAUUGUGAUGCUGCGCAGAUUACAAAAUACCCAUUUCCCCCUCUGAUAGUGCCCCCGUGGUCAAAGCAGGACAGAUUAACUGGGACCCAAUGGAGGGGAGGAGGGUUUUUUCUGGUUUAACUGCAAAAGAAAGAUAUAAAAAGUGUAUAGGGAGAUAGAUAAAAGCCUCCUUAAAAAAAUGAAAUUCCACUAUUUAAAAUCUGGGAAAUGUUUCUCUUUGCUCACUUGAUGCUGAUGAAUCAAAACACCAAAGAAAAGUGAGUACAUUCUGAUUUAUUUCAUUUAAGAAAAAACAUUAAGCUUUUAUAUGAAAUUAAGAAGGAAGAGGAAAAACAGGUAGAAGCCUGAAAAGCACACAAGGCUUGUAACGUAUCAGCAGGAGAGAUUGAUGAAAAUGAAGUAAAAUAAAUGUAGUAAUAAAGUUGGAUGUUUCUUUGUUUUGUUAAUCCUUGUUGAAGGAAGUUACAUUUUUUCCCGUGAAAACCAAUAACCACAAUCCGACACUGAUCUGUCCUUAAGUAUGAGACACAUAUUUGUAUUCUAUGAGUUAUUAGAAAUGUUGCACCUUGUUUAUUGUGACAUGAGUUUCUUUCUUGUUUCACUUUUUGGGUUCACACAUUCAGCAGGGCAGACAUUAUUACCCAAUUAAGAGUUAAGAAUUACUCUGGGUGGAAAAAUAGAUCACAAUCAAAGAAAAUAUAAAAUGCAGAUGAAUUGGAUUGAAUAAAAUAAAAUAAAGCAACUUAAAAAAGAAGCAACCAUAACCCAAAGUGAAUAAUGCUUCAUUUAUUUACCUUUUCAGUUCAGCAAAGGGUUCCUAAGAGACAAACAUUGAUACUUUUAGAGGAUGAAACUGUAACGCUUGAUUUUAUCUUCAUCAUCAUCAUCAGUCUUUUUAUUGUUGAUUCCACCUGAACGUCAGACGGGCGGAAACAGAGAGCGAGCGGGAGUGGGCGUGUCUCCGGAAGCCCCGCCCCGUGUGAGAGUCACCUGGAGAGACGGAGGCUUCGGGAGAAACUGAGACCCGGAUCACCGAUCACGUGCGUAACGGAGCGGAUUGGGUCCGUGGAGCCGCCUGUGGGUUAAACACCAUCCGUGGACUCGUGUUGCUUCGGACGGAGAAACGGAAGGACUCGUUCUUUUGGACAUUUCGUUGGAUGCCCGUUUGUUUUGGGAGAGUUUUUCACUUUGAGUUGAAGGAUCCUUCUGUGCAGCUUGUUGGACUUGUUGGAAUAAGUCGGUAAAAUGAGGACGCAGCUGAUCAGGUGAGUGUGAGUCUCUUGAAUGACACCGCUGUGUUGUUAUUGUGAGACUCUAAAGAUGUGGUUCCUUUCAGGGUGGUGCUGUGGGCCGUGACCUGUGUCCACUCUGCUGCAG